GUCGUGAGAUGUUGGGUUAAGUCCCGCAACGAGCGCAACCCCCGUCGCAUGUUGCCAGCAUUAAGUUGGGGACUCAUGCGAGACUGCCGGUGACAAACCGGAGGAAGGUGGGGAUGACGUCAAGUCAUCAUGCCCCUUAUGUCCAGGGCUACACACGUGCUACAUUGGCGCGUACAGAGGGCUGCGAUACCGCGAGGUGGAGCGAAUCCCUCAAAGCGCGUCUCGGUUCGGAUUGUAGGCUGAAACUCGCCUACAUGAAGGCGGAGCUGCUAGUAAUCGCGGAUCAGCACUGCCGCGGUGAAUACGUUCCCGGGCCUUGUACACACCGCCCGUCACACCACGGAAGCAGGCAACACCCGAAGCCGGUGGCCUAACCCUUUGGGAGGGAGCCGUCGAAGGUGGGGCCCGUGACUGGGGUGAAGUCGUAACAAGGUAGCCGUACCGGAAGGUGCGGCUGGAUCACCUCCUUUCUAGGGAGCUCCAGGACUGGAGCGCCUGCUCGAGACCACGAGCGCAAUACCGCGCGAGUGUUCCCCUCGACCAGGUUCCUAACGUCGACCGAUCUGGACGUGGCGCCUCGUGCGCCGGCCGAUAGGGCUCGUUCGCGAGCUGGCCGGCUCCAAGUCACAGGCGUCUGCAUGCUGUUGAGUUUUGAGAGACCGACGGCCCAAGUCCCGGGCCGGCGCCUUUCUUGUCGGACCUUGAAAACUGCACAGUCAUCCAACAAACGGAUGCCACGACGAAAGCGAGCCUUCGGGCUCGUUCUUGUGCGUGGCAAGGGGCGCAUCCCUUUCCUUAGGGGUUGCGUUCUGCAAGAUCGAUCGAGAUCACCGUCAAGAUAUAAAGGGCACACGGUGGAUGCCUAGGCACCAGGAGUCGAUGAAGGGCGUGAACGGCUGCGAUAAGCCGCGGGUAGGCGCUGAAUGGCCUGUGAUCCGCGGAUAC
rnacentral:sRNA from 1 species